AAGGAGACAAGGUUAAUGCUAAAAAGCCUAACAAUAUUCAGGAGAAGUUGGGAGUGGAACUCACAAAUAAGGAAUCUUGGAAUCUACAAGAACACUUACCAGUUGAUGCUGAUGGGAAAGUGAAACGUAUUAAACUAGUGCAUGCAGCUAUACCUGUUACAGGUAAGAAGUUGAUAUAAAACUGAGAUACUAAUGCUUUAUAAAAUUUUUUUUGCAACAGUAUUUUGAAUAUGUAACCAUUUCUUUGUAACUUCUGCCACUUUAUUAACUAA
rnacentral:lncRNA from 1 species